rnacentral:rRNA from 1 species
AACGAACGCUGGCGGCAUGCCUAACACAUGCAAGUCGAACGAGACCUUCGGGCCUAGUGGCGCACGGGUGCGUAACGCGGGGGAACCUGCCCUUAGGUUCGGAAUAACUCCCCGAAAGGGGUGCUAAUACCGGAUAAUCUCUUCGGACCAAAGAUUUAUCGCCUUUGGAUGGGCCCGCGUUGGAUUAGCUAGUUGGUGGGGUAAAAGCCUACCAAGGCGACGAUGCAUAGCUGGUCUGAGAGGAUGGUCAGCGACACUGGGACUGAGACACGGCCCAGACUGCUACGGGAGGCAGCAGUGGGGAAUAUUGGACAGUGGGGGAAAGCCUGAUCACGCAAUGCCGCGUGAGUGAUGCAGGCCUUAGGGUUGUAAAGCUCUUUUACCCGGGAUGAUAAUGACGGUACCGGGAGAAUAAGCUCCGGCUAACUCCGUG